CCGUAUUCCAGCGGGCGCAAUCAUAUCUCUUUUCAAGCUGUUCAGGAAAGAAAAAUCUGAAUUAUUUAACCCUUGGGACACUGGCUGGUCUCGCAGGGUGUAGAGAGACAAAUCUGCUUUGUUCCCGUGCUGGGUCGUUGCCCGAGUUUGGGAAUUUUGGGAGGAUGCUGCUGCAGCUCAGGGGGGAAACUGAGGCACUGGCUGUGUUUGGAGGACCAGGAUCAGGGUUUGGCUGUGGGAUUUGCUCUCCUGGUUGGCUCUGCCCUGCAGGGACCAGGGGUUUCCAUCUGCAGGUGCCUCUCCUCUCAGAAGGGUUUUUCCCCUCCACAGUGAAUAUCCAAGAGGUAAAAACUUGGGAAGCCAAUGUGUUUCCAGCAUGGAGAUGCCACCCUGCCCGCUGUGGUGUGGGCACACAGGGGUUGGGUAAUGCCAAAGGGGCUUCACCAGCUCAGAGAUGUCAAUUCCAGAGAAUCUCCCUCUGAUGGAUUCUUGCUCCUGUUGUGGAAAGGUGCCACAGUGCUGGGAAGUUGUGGAUUAACCCCAAACCUGGUGGAGCCAGGCUCGGUGGGUGACACGUCCUGUGCUGGGCCCCACAGUGCUGGAGGGUGGGAGCAUGGAGCUCCAGAGCUGGGGGGUCCAUGGAGUGUGUGCUGCCAGGCUGUGGGUUGUCCUGGGGUACAUCCCUGGUGGUGGCAUCAUCCCUAUCCCGUGGCAUCAUCCUUAUCCCAAUGGCUUCAUCCCUGUCCCAUGGCAUCAUCCCCAUCCCGUGGCAUCAUCCCAAUCCCCUGCCACCAUCCCUGUCCCCAUGGCAUCAUCCCAAUCCCAUGGCAUCAUCCCCAUCCCUCCCCAACCCAUGGCAUCAGCCCCAUCCUGUGACAUCAAUUCCCAUCCCCUGGCAUCAUCCCUGUCCCAUGGUAUCAUCCCUGUCCCAUGGCAUCACCCUCAUCCCCUGGCAUCAUCCCCAUCCCAAUGGCAUCAUCCCCAUCCCAUGGCAUCAUCCCCAUCCCAUGGCAUCAUCCCAAUCCCUCCCCAUCCCCUGGCAUCACCCUCAUCCCCUGGCAUCACCCUC
rnacentral:lncRNA from 1 species